UUAGUUUUAUUUUACCGCAUUUUGUCGCACUUUGUUUCUUUUCUAGCUGCUUGAUAAAUGGUAAGUUAGUGAAAUGUAUUAUUUCGUUCUUUCAACUUGGAAGUCAGUCCGAGAUAGGCUCAAGUAUCUACGGUGAGAUCGACUAUACAAUGAGAUGAAGUAAGAAGAUUUAUCAUUAAAAGUGAUGCUUCUCACUUUUAAUGAACAAUUUGGUUUCAGUCAUAUGGUUCCCCGGAGGAGACCUACUUUGUUGUUCCUUGAUAUGGUGAGGGGUUGCAAGUCUGGUUCAUAGUUCUACUAGCCUCUUGUAUGUACAAUGUAUUUACUAGGUCAAUAAAUAUGACUACAUGUACUACAUGGGAUGGAUUUGAAUUAUUAUUUACUUUAAUGGGUCAGAUAGAUGGAUCUGCACCGGAAUUAUUUGUUUAAUAAUAAAUCGUGAUAUUUUCUUUAAAGUUCAUAUUAAUAAACGUGAUUAUAUCA
rnacentral:lncRNA from 1 species